GCCUGAGAAGGUGUCCUACUAACCUAUCUCGCCUAUUUCUAACUGACUCCCAUAGAGCCUUCUGUUGUCCUACUCUUUCUAAUACCUCUUCAUUUCUAACCUUCUCUAUCCACGGUAUCUCCACCAUUCGUUGUAACGCUACAUUUUAAACACUUCUAACCUUUUCUUUUCCAACCUCAUGUAAUAAUUGCGCGAUACUGGAAGAAUGUGAGUGAUAACUGAAGUCUGAUCAGUACUUCUAAAACAAUUAAGGCAGAAGAAGGUACAUGAAAAAGAAAUAGAAUGAGUCAUCAUACACCACAAAGUGAUAUACAUAAAUGUGAGGGCAAUGACCUUAUGGAAAACCCCAACUGCUCCAGCAAUGAUGACCAGGAUUAUUUAGUGUAAUUGUGUAAUGCAGCGUCACUAUAUGCUGUAGUGGAGUUCUGUACGCUAAUAAGGGCAAGGAAGGAAUGCAUAGACUGUUAUUUAUUACGGCGUUGGACGCCGGUAAUGGUACAAUUUGCAAAAGCAAUGAAAGUACAUCCUGGUAGGUGUGGUGUGUCGAACACGAUCACAGGCUUUGCUCAGAAGCCUUGAAUAAUGUUACAUCAAAAGAGAAACAAAAGACACCUCAAGAAUCAAAACGGCCCCUCAGAGUAAG
rnacentral:misc_RNA from 1 species